rnacentral:rRNA from 1 species
UACGUAGGGGGCAAGCGUUGUCCGGAUUUAUUGGGCGUAAAGAGCGUGUAGGCGGCCAGACAGGUCCGUUGUGAAAACUCGAGGCUCAACCUCGAGACGCCGAUGGAAACCGUCUGGCUAGAGUCCGGAAGAGGAGAGUGGAAUUCCCGGUGUAGCGGUGAAAUGCGCAGAUAUCGGGAAGAACACCCGUGGCUAACGCGGCUCUCUAGUACGGUACUGACGCUGAGACGCGAAAGCGUGGGGAGCGAACAGG